UUGAAGAGUUUGAUCAUGGCUCAGAUUGAACGCUGGCGGCAGGCCUAACACAUGCAAGUCGAGCGGUAGCACAGAGAGCUUGCUCUCGGGUGACGAGCGGCGGACGGGUGAGUAAUGUCUGGGAAACUGCCUGAUGGAGGGGAUAACUACUGGAAACGGUAGCUAAUACCGCAUAAUGUCGCAAGACCAAAGUGGGGGACCUUCGGGCCUCAUGCCAUCAGAUGUGCCCAGAUGGGAUUAGCUAGUAGGUGGGGUAACGGCUCACCUAGGCGACGAUCCCUAGCUGGUCUGAGAGGAUGACCAGCCACACUGGAACUGAGACACGGUCCAGACUCCUACGGGAGGCAGCAGUGGGGAAUAUUGCACAAUGGGCGCAAGCCUGAUGCAGCCAUGCCGCGUGUGUGAAGAAGGCCUUCGGGUUGUAAAGCACUUUCAGCGGGGAGGAAGGCGUUAAGGUUAAUAACCUUGGCGAUUGACGUUACCCGCAGAAGAAGCACCGGCUAACUCCGUGCCAGCAGCCGCGGUAAUACGGAGGGUGCAAGCGUUAAUCGGAAUUACUGGGCGUAAAGCGCACGCAGGCGGUCUGUCAAGUCGGAUGUGAAAUCCCCGGGCUCAACCUGGGAACUGCAUUCGAAACUGGCAGGCUAGAGUCUUGUAGAGGGGGGUAGAAUUCCAGGUGUAGCGGUGAAAUGCGUAGAGAUCUGGAGGAAUACCGGUGGCGAAGGCGGCCCCCUGGACAAAGACUGACGCUCAGGUGCGAAAGCGUGGGGAGCAAACAGGAUUAGAUACCCUGGUAGUCCACGCCGUAAACGAUGUCGAUUUGGAGGUUGUGCCCUUGAGGCGUGGCUUCCGGAGCUAACGCGUUAAAUCGACCGCCUGGGGAGUACGGCCGCAAGGUUAAAACUCAAAUGAAUUGACGGGGGCCCGCACAAGCGGUGGAGCAUGUGGUUUAAUUCGAUGCAACGCGAAGAACCUUACCUGGUCUUGACAUCCACAGAACUUUCCAGAGAUGGAUUGGUGCCUUCGGGAACUGUGAGACAGGUGCUGCAUGGCUGUCGUCAGCUCGUGUUGUGAAAUGUUGGGUUAAGUCCCGCAACGAGCGCAACCCUUAUCCUUUGUUGCCAGCGGUCCGGCCGGGAACUCAAAGGAGACUGCCAGUGAUAAACUGGAGGAAGGUGGGGAUGACGUCAAGUCAUCAUGGCCCUUACGACCAGGGCUACACACGUGCUACAAUGGCAUAUACAAAGAGAAGCGACCUCGCGAGAGCAAGCGGACCUCAUAAAGUAUGUCGUAGUCCGGAUUGGAGUCUGCAACUCGACUCCAUGAAGUCGGAAUCGCUAGUAAUCGUAGAUCAGAAUGCUACGGUGAAUACGUUCCCGGGCCUUGUACACACCGCCCGUCACACCAUGGGAGUGGGUUGCAAAAGAAGUAGGUAGCUUAACCUUCGGGAGGGCGCUUACCACUUUGUGAUUCAUGACUGGGGUGAAGUCGUAACAAGGUAACUGUAGGGGAACCUGCGGUUGGAUCACCUCCUU
rnacentral:rRNA from 1 species